rnacentral:rRNA from 1 species
AAGUGAAGAGUUUGAUCCUGGCUCAGAGUGAACGCUGGCGGCAGGCCUAACACAUGCAAGUCGAACGGCAGCACAGGGGAGCUUGCUCCCUGGGUGGCGAGUGGCGGACGGGUGAGGAAUGCGUCGGAAUCUGCCUUUUCGUGGGGGAUAACGUAGGGAAACUUACGCUAAUACCGCAUACGACCUACGGGUGAAAGCCGGGGACCUUCGGGCCUGGCGCGGAAAGAUGAGCCGACGUCGGAUUAGCUAGUUGGAGGGGUAACGGCCCACCAAGGCGACGAUCCGUAGCUGGUCUGAGAGGAUGAUCAGCCACACUGGGACUGAGACACGGCCCAGACUCCUACGGGAGGCAGCA